AUCAUACUCGCGAACAAAGGUUUUUACCGCCAGACGACGGGCAGGGGGAGUGGCGAUAAUGGAGAGAUCGCGCAUACCGCUCAUCGCCAUAUUCAGCGUCCGCGGGAUCGGCGUCGCCGUGAGCGUCAGAAUAUCGACAUCGGCGCGCAUCGCCUUAAUUCGCUCUUUGUGGCGCACGCCGAAACGGUGCUCUUCAUCGACAAUCAGCAGGCCGAGGUCGUGCAGCUUCACAUCGCUUUGUAGCAGUUUAUGCGUACCGAUCAGAAUAUCGAUCUUACCCUCGGCGGCUUCCGCCAGGAUUUGCGUCUGCUCUUUGGCGCUGCGAAAGCGGGACAGCAUCUCAAUGC
rnacentral:misc_RNA from 1 species